rnacentral:rRNA from 1 species
AUUGAACGCUGGCGGCAUGCCUUACACAUGCAAGUCGAACGGCAGCACGGGUGCUUGCCCCUGGUGGCGAGUGGCGAACGGGUGAGUAAUACAUCGGAACAUCUCCUGUAGAGGGGGAUAGCCAGGCGAAAGCCGGAUUAAUACCGCAUACGAACUACGGAUGAAAGCGGGGUACCUUCGGGCCUCGCGCUUUACGGUUGGCUGAUGGCUGAUUAGCUAGUUGGUGGGGUAAAGGCAUACCAAGGCGACGAUCAGUAGCUGGUCUGAGAGGACGACCAGCCACACUGGGACUGAGACACGGCCCAGACUCCUACGGGAGGCAGCAGUGGGGAAUUUUGGACAAUGGGCGAAAGCCUGAUCCAGCAAUGCCGCGUGUGUGAAGAAGGUCUUCGGGUUGUAAAGCACUUUUGUCCGGAAAGAAAUCCUUGGCCCUAAUACGGUCGGGGGAUGACGGUACCGGAAGAAUAAGCACCGGCUAACUACGUG